rnacentral:rRNA from 1 species
GUACUUUCAGUCGUGAGGAAGGCGGCGCGUUAAUAGCGGCGUUGUUUGACGUUAGCGACAGAAGAAAGCACCGGCUAACUCCGUGCCAGCAGCCGCGGUAAUACGGAGGGUGCGAGCGUUAAUCGGAAUUACUGGGCGUAAAGCGCAUGCAGGUGGUUUGUUUAAGUCAGAUGUGAAAGACCCGGGGCGUCAACCUCGGAAUUGCAUUUGUAAACUAGGCAGACUAGAGUACUGUAGAGGGGGGUAGGAAUUUCAGGUGUAGCGGUGAAAUAGCGUAGAGAUCUGAAGGAAUACCGGUGGCGAAGGCGGCCCCCUCGGACAGAUACUGACACUCAGAUGCGAAAGCGUGGGGAGCAAACAGGAUUAGAUACCCUGGUAG